rnacentral:rRNA from 1 species
AUGAACGCUGACAGAAUGCUUAACACCUGCAAGUCAACUUGAAUUUGGGUUUUUAACUUAGGUUUGGGUGGCGGACGGGUGAGUAACGCGUAAAGAACUUGCCUCACAGCUAGGGACAACAUUUGGAAACGAAUGCUAAUACCUAAUAUUAUGAUAAUAGGGCAUCCUAUAAUUAUGAAAGCUAUAAGCGCUGUGAGAGAGCUUUGCGUCCCAUUAGCUAGUUGGAGAGGUAACGGCUCACCAAGGCGAUGAUGGGUAGCCGGCCUGAGAGGGUGAUCGGCCACAAGGGGACUGAGACACGGCCCUUACUCCUACGGGAGGCAGCAGUGGGGAAUAUUGGACAAUGGACCAAGAGUCUGAUCCAGCAAUUCUGUGUGCACGAUGAAGUUUUUCGGAAUGUAAAGUGCUUUCAGUUGGGAAGAAAGAAAUGACGGUACCAACAGAAGAAGAGACGGCUAAAUACGUG